rnacentral:lncRNA from 1 species
AGAGAUGAUGCAGAUGAUGCGUCAAAUGCAACAGCAACAGGAUGCUCGGAAUGCCAUAACCGACCAGCGGUUUACUGAGUUGUUUAGCAGAUUCGACAGCUUAGACAUACGUCAAAGAUCACCAGGACCAAGAACCAGAGGUGGAAGGCAGCCUUAGUUGUAUUUUUCUUUUCAUCUCCAUUUUGUAUUUCUUUCCCUUAAAACAUCGAGGACAAUGUUUAGUUCAAGUAUGGGGGGGAAAUUAUUCUUUCCAUUCCCAUCUUUGUUUCAAGUUUGUACUCUCCCUUUUCAUUGUUAUUUCCUUAUAAAAACAAAAUAUUUUUUUAAGUUAAGUCCUGAAUGUGAAAAAGUUUCUAUUAUCUAUUUCCCUCAACUUUCUUGAGCCAUAACAAAAAUUUUAACACACCCAAUAAGUAUAAAGGUCGCCUACUUUAUAAAAUUUGAGUGAAAUCAAAACAAAAUCAUUACCAUAACAACGCUCUGAGAACCUCAAUAUGUUAGAUCAGGAUAAGUACCUAUUAU